rnacentral:rRNA from 1 species
UACGUAGGGGGCAAGCGUUGUCCGGAAUCAUUGGGCGUAAAGCGCGUGUAGGCGGCCCGGUAAGUCCGCUCUGAAAGUCGGGGGCUCAACCCUCGGAUGCGGGUGGAUACUGUCGGGCUUGAGUGCGGAAGAGGCGAGUGGAAUUCCUGGUGUAGCGGUGAAAUGCGCAGAUAUCAGGAGGAACACCAAUUGCGAAGGCAGCUCGCUGGGACGUUACUGACGCUGAGACGCGAAAGCGUGGGGAGCAAACAGG